rnacentral:rRNA from 1 species
GACGAACGCUGGCGGCGUGCUUAACACAUGCAAGUCGAACGGAAAGGCCCUGCUUUUGUGGGGUGCUCGAGUGGCGAACGGGUGAGUAACACGUGAGUAACCUGCCCUUGACUUUGGGAUAACUUCAGGAAACUGGGGCUAAUACCGGAUAGGAGCUCCUGCUGCAUGGUGGGGGUUGGAAAGUUUCGGCGGUUGGGGAUGGACUCGCGGCUUAUCAGCUUGUUGGUGGGGUAGUGGCUUACCAAGGCUUUGACGGGUAGCCGGCCUGAGAGGGUGACCGGCCACAAUGGGACUGAGAGAGGGACCAGAGUGCUACAGGAGGCAGCAGGGGGGAAUAUUGCACAAUGGGAGGAAGCCUGAGGAAGAAACGCCGCGUGCGGGAUGACGGCCUUCGGGUUGUAAACCGCUUUCGCCUGUGACGAAGCGGGAGUGACGGUAAUGGGUAAAGAAGCACCGGCUAACUACGUG